CAGCCGCCGCGGUAAUACGAAGGGGGCUAGCGUUGUUCGGAAUUACUGGGCGUAAAGGGCGCGUAGGCGGCCAUUCAAGUUAGAUGUGAAAGCCCUGGGCUCAACCUAGGAAUUGCAUUUGAUACUGUUUGGCUUGAGUUCGGGAGAGGUGAGUGGAAUUCCCAGUGUAGAAGUGAAAUUCGUAGAUAUUGGGAAGAACACCAGUGGCGAAGGCGGCUCACUGGACCGACACUGACGCUGAGGCGCGAAAGCGUGGGGAGCAAACAGGAUUAGAUACCCGCGUAGUCCCUGUCUCUUAUAC
rnacentral:rRNA from 1 species